rnacentral:miRNA from 1 species
UUUGCCGGAGCUGGAUCAGCUGG